GCCUCUUGUGACGAUUAAAACAUAACUUUCGUUCUUAUGAGAAUUGUUUCAUCAUGCGGAAGAGUUAUGGAGACCUGAACUGAAGAGCC